AGAAAGAGACAAUCCCAAGGGAGAGGCUCUCAGCACAGAGCCUGAUGGGGCUUGAUCUCACCAACCGUGAGAUUCUGCAAACACUUUUACAAGUCAUUUAUUGGCCUGUGUUUAACCUUUACUUAAUAGGUCCUAAGUCACUUUAUUAAUUGAUGCCCAGUGCCAGAAAAAGCUCUGGUUCUAAGUUUACAGCCUACUGAAAACAAUGAUUGAGAUGUGUACACACAGGAGGAAGAUUCUCACCACAGUUCAGGUGAUAAGAUGCUUCAAAUAUAUGAGAGGCAUCCACACGGCAAAGGAAUUCUAUUUGUCUGGGGGAGGAAGCCCACCGUGGCAGAACUGGGAUUAGUGGGGAUGGGAGCUUCAGGAAGGAAGACAUCCAUUUGGCACAAGGAAAAACUUUUGAACAAUUAUGAUUAUUUUCAAAGAAAAAUAAAAGCAAAGUGCUGUUGAAGCUGCUGUCAGCACCCGAACACUGAAGUAUUGAAUCAGGGGAUGGAAGUGUCACCAGUCAGGAUGCUGAGAUGGGUCCGAGCUGAGGUCAGAGGAGGUCCCACCCAGGUCUAGGACCCUGUGAUGGUGUGGGCUAGAAAGCUCUCUACCUUAUCUGGACGGACUUAUCUUCUGUGGAGGGCCCGGGGAAAUGUUUUUCAGACCAGAUUAAGGAGAAAGGAUUUCUUACCUCUGAAGACCUGUUCCAGAAUAUUCCCAGUUGUUUCAACAGGUAGUUACCAAAAUAGAGCGUGCAUGUGAACUUAUUUACAAAAUGGAGGGGGCAUUAUGCACCUCAGUCACAGGGCUGCUGUAAAUACCAAAUGAGCAAAUAUGGGAAGGUGCUCGAAAGGGAGCCUCGGCUCAAUAAGUGUUAGAGAUUAUUAUUAGCAUUAUAAUGCAUAAAAACUAGACGGGCAGUUUCUUUCUCAGGACACAGUUAUUAAACAGCUAGAGAAAUUACUAGAAAGAGGGGCGCCUGGCAGGCACAGUUGGUAGAGCAUGUGACUCUUGACCUUGGGGUCGUGAGUUCAAGUUCCACAUUGGGUGUAAAGCCUACUUAAAUAAAAAUUUUAAAAGGCCUCCUUCCAGAAAUUACUAAACUCUAUGAAAAUUGUCAGCGGUAGAGUAGGGGGAGGUAAGUUGUUGAGUUUAGAAACCAAAAGUUGGUUAACAUCUCCGCUUCUCUAAGUACAGAAAUAGUGACAUUGCCUAAUUCCAUAUCGGCACAAAUUACAAUAACUUAUGUUAUUGUGAUUAUGUAACUUAUGUAUCGUUCAAAUAGCAUAUACUUUACAGCAUACAGUUUCCUCUUUUGUGUAUAUAUGGGGAUAUAUGGGGUAAGUAUUUAUAUGUAUAUUUAUAAUUAUUCAAGUCUCCAUUAUCCAAUUCCUUGAAGUUAGGGAACUGAGUAGUGAAAAUAUUUUUUAAUAAACAAAUCACUUAUAACAUUGGUCCCUACUAAAACAUUUCUCAGCUAACACUCCUGUCUUACCAAGUAGGUCUGUGUGAGUCAAUCUCUUGCUAUUUAAAAAAGUUAGGAAAUAUAAUAUAGUAAAACUGCCAAACUUGCGAAAGACGCAGGAUUUCAUGAAGUUGCCAAAAUAAUAUUGGAGAAUUGCUUGCAUCUCAAGCAAAGACAUCGGUAAAUGAAGGUGUGGGAUGUUUACACCAGUUUACAAUUGAGAAGCCACUCUGAGAAAGGUGUGCCAUGUAAGCCCUUCAGAAGCAAACGAUUUAAUAUCAAAGGAUAAAGAGAAGCUUUAGGAAAAAUUGAUAAAUUCUUAAAUAUAUUGCAAAAGCAACAAACAAAACCCCAAACCUGGCCUCUUCUGUGCUAGUGCUUUAAAAGCCAAGGAAAGUGAAAGAUGUUAUAGUAUACAAUUUUGUCAGGAAAUGUAUGCUGAGAAAAGUAACGUAUAAUUCAUUCUUUGAGAAUUAGUGCACAUUUUCAGUUAUAACCUAGAUUUGUUACACCUAAGAAAGCAUGUUUUAAUAUCACUCAGUUUCAUUUUUCAGUAUGAAUUUCCAGUCAAGCUCCCCCCACCCCAUUACCAAACCAUGAUUCUCUUAUUAAGUGGGUUCAUAUUAAAUGUCCUUGCCUGGCAGCAAUUAUCCCCAGAUAUGGCAAGAGAAAGAGAGGGAGUGUGAGUGAGCACUAGAGACCUUUCUCAGUAGUCGCCUAAUUCUUCAGCUAAGUAGCAAUGUGAGACAAACAGACCCACUGUCCUUUCUUUAAAGUCUUGUGCCAUGGAGGGAGAAAGAUAUUUCCUCUUACUAGCGAAAGCCCUAGAAAGUUAUCUGGGUUCUUUUCCCAGACUUUCACUGGAAGAGUUUGUAGGGUGACAUUCAAAUCAGAUACUUCAAGGCACCUCAGAGUUUGAACCUCAACUUGACUCUGAAUCGCUGCUUGACUGUGUUCUUAGAACUUCAAACCUAGAAAACCAUUUUACAAAAUGGUCCCUGAGGGUCAAAAUUGUGUUGCUUUUGGUCAAAUACGUUUGGAAUCGAUCCCCCCAUUUCAUAGGUAAGAAAACUAAAGAGAUUGCGGACAUGUGACUUUCCCCAGACUACACUUGCUAUUAAUGGCUCAAUUAGAAUCAAGACCCAAGUCCCCUGAAUAUAGAGCUGUGAUUCUCAACCUCGGUUGCACAUUGGAAUCACCUGAGAGCUUUUAAAACUACUGAUGUCUGGGUGUCAUCCCCAGAAACUCUGACUUAAUUCGUCUUGAGUACGGCUGAACUGGGGAUUUUAAAGAGCUCCCAGGUGAUUCUAACAUGCAGCCAAGGUUGAGGUCCUGAUCUUUCCUAAUUUUUGCUCGUGCAAAAGGACCUAUGUCACUUAGCACCAGUCUUUCACAACCUUCCACUUUUCUCUCCCAAUUAAUCCUAGUUCUUCUCUAGUGUUGUCAUAUCCCAAUAAUUAUCAAAGCCUAAUGCUUGAAAGGUGGGCUGUGUGACCACAGAGCAGUGGGCACCUAGUCGCCUCACUUUCUUACACUGGACAGAUGUUGAAUUUCAAAGCCGAAUGUAGCACAGAACCAAUGCCACCCUAGCAGCAGCCGUAUACCCAAAUUUAAGUUUAAAUAUUCUGCAUAUGCUCAGGCUUUGGAUUCUCUCCUGGAGCAACAGGCAGCAGAAACUAACCACCCAAGUCCUAGCAAACAGCAAUGACUUUUGGAGGUGAGAACUGUGGACUGCUGUGAUAAUGGGAGCAUGACCAGGCGCUGGACCAACCCGCUUCACUACCUAAUUGCUCUGCCCUCAGCUGUGAGACGGCCUUUACAUACCCCCCCUUAGUUGCGUGCGUAAAAAUGAGUGUUGGAUCCCACCACAAGAGGAGCCGUGGUGAAAAAAGCAGACCUAAAAAAUUAAAUCUCUUUUUGAGAAAAGUGAUCAGUACAAGGAGACAAGCCUAUUCCCGAAGCCCAAGCCCUUGCGGUGCUGGGCUUCAGGCCCACGUGGCUCAUAAGGGUAUGCAAGCUCCACCUCCAAAGGCCUUCACGGCCAGUCUCUCAGAUCUCUCGAGAAGCUCUGACCCCGCCUCCUGGAGAAUGAAUCAAUCAGGACAGGCCCACUGCGGUCCGCAGUAGGCUGGGGGAUUCCCAUGAUGCUCUGUAACAAUAACCUGUUGCUUAGGAGGUGGGUUCCGGCAGCUACUUCCGGUUCCCGCCACUCCGAAAGCGGAAGUGCAGGCUUUCCAGCGAACCGCCAACCAGACAAAUUCCGACCCACUGGCCCUGUGCACCCCGGAGCUGACUGCACGUGCAGAAAGUAGCUUCCGCUUCUCUGAAAGAUGUACGGGCCCACUGAGGAAUACCCACUCCUUGCCUGCGUGGGCUUUCACCCGCAGUUUCAAGCGAUUUGGGUUUCCAUCCCAAACCAUAGGACUCCGGCAGUUCGUCUUAACGGUUUGUGUCAUGAUCUCAGUUAUAAUUCACAAAGAAGCUGGAAGAUGUUUGGCCUUUGAAAAGGAACACCCCUCUCUUCAUACCCAUGACAUUAACCAAGAUUACCAAGAUUCUGAAGUCUGAAAAGGGGAUUGCAUCUACUCCUCUGGCUUCAACUAUCACCUAUACCCUGAUUACUCCCAGAUUUUAAUCUCUGGCCCAGAUCUUUAUCUCCUGGGCUCCAGACCUGAAAUUUCAGCUGCCUCCUGGGCAUCUCUAUUUGGAAGUCCCACAGGUAAUCUUAUCUUUAUAGGUCCUAAAUCAAAUUUGGCAUUUUAUUUCUCUACACCAAAACCUGCUGCCUCCCUAUGGCCCCUACCUUGGGCAAUUGGGUCUUGUUUCAUCCAGUGAAUCAAGCCAGAACCUGGCAGCCUUCCUCCACAUCUCUCUUUCUCAUGCCUCCAUCCAAUGAAUUGCCAAAUUCUGUUGUUUCUUGGUAUUUCUUCCUUCCUUCCUUCCUUUCUUCCUUCCUUUCUUUCUUCCUUCCUUCCUUCCUUCCUUCCUUCCUUCCUUCCUUC